GGGGAAAGAUUUAUCGGAGAAGGAUCGGCCCGCGUUAGAUUAGAUAGUUGGUGGGGUAAUGGCCUACCAAGUCUACGAUCUAUAGCUGGUUUUAGAGGAUGAUCAGCAACACUGGGACUGAGACACGGCCCAGACUCCUACGGGAGGCAGCAGUGGGGAAUCUUAGACAAUGGGCGCAAGCCUGAUCUAGCCAUGCCGCGUGUGUGAUGAAGGCCCUAGGGUCGUAAAGCACUUUCGCCAGGGAUGAGCU
rnacentral:rRNA from 13 species